CCGCUCUGGAGGUCACCGCUCCGCGGGACGCGUCUCGCGGCCCCGGGAGCUGCGCGGGGGCUUCCUCCCACUGUCGCCGGCGCGAACUCCGCGGCUCAGCGAGUGUCCGGGAAGAGCCGCCGCUCCGGAGCCCACAGCGUGCCCCGGCCCUGGUCGCGCCGGUCUCCACCUCGACGACUUGGUCACAGCACUUUCUCUUCCUAUUUCCCUCGGGUCCUCGGGGUCUCUUCGCGCCCAGAAAGCUGGAUUUCGCAGAUGCCCCGCUCAAAGGAGAGCUUUUUUUUCCGGGGAUGAAGUCGCUCCUCCGUGUUGGCCGUAGUGGAUUGAUGGGAGGGGCUCAAAGUCACUGGGUGUCUUGAAAAGGUUUGUUACUGUUGUUAAAAUCGUCCUCUCUUCAAGGUUUGAGGGAAAUCACUUCCUGCGAGCCUGGAACUUGCGGAUUGCUUCUGAGCUGGAAGGUUUGUCUUUAUCACUGUUUGUAGAGGGACAGGUACAGCUGGGGAGAAAAGUGAGCUCUCAUCUGGAAAUGAGCUUCUACUUCUGAUCUCUGCUUGUCUUCUGUCUCCAAAAUUUGAAGUUAAAAUUUGUCACUUUGGAAUUUUCUUCCAAAAAUUCCUAUGUGAUCCCCAAAAGAUAUUGAGAUAUGAUAUCUAUAAACAUAUAUAUACCUAAAUUUUAUCUUAUUUCAUAUCUUUAAUCCUAUUUCUUGUGAAUGAGUAACCCUAGUACACAUACACACAUACUAGUACAUGCCCACCUUGCCCUGAGUUAUAUUUCAAAGCCUUCUUGUCUGAACUUACAAUAAGGGCACCAUGCCUCAAACACUUUCCCCAAUUCUCUCAUUCCUAGGUUUUUCAGAUCAGGCUGCCAUACCUGUAUCUUGCUGAUGUUAGGUAAGAUAGCCAUAAUAUUAGGUAACAGUGAAUGGUAGGGAUAAGAUUGAACCAUGGGGAAUGGCUUGGAGCAAACAACCCUCUCUGCCAUGUGCAUAAUUAGAAUUGAUCAUGGGGAGAGGAAGAAGGGUGGAAGGUCAGUAUGGGAAGGCUCUUUAGUGGGUACUUUUUUCCAAUCAGAGCAUCUGGGCCUCCCUAGCAUCCCCUACCCCCUCGGGAGUGAUCCUUUGUGAUGUCUGAGCUCCCCUUAGCCACCAUUGGCUGUGGGAAGUGCCCUGAUGACAAAACAAAGCUGAAGGGGUGUGACUCCUCAUUGCCCUGUGGAGGGGUAUAUAUACAGACGACUGGACCCUUGGGGUAAACAGUUGAGAGCUUAAACAUGGCAAAAGUGACCAAGAAAUCAUGGGAGCAACAAUCCACAAGCACCAAGCGGUGGAAGAAGAAGAAGACCCGCUCUCAACCUAAAUCAAGACGUAAUAACAAGGUUCUGAAGAUAUACAAGAAGAUAAAAAGACCAUUUCACAUGACCUCAAGAAAAAAAUACCCUCCUAAAGUUAAAACUACUUCAAGAAGGCGGAAGAGAGGGAGAAGGGCCAACAAAUUUCAGCCAUUACGGUAGACUGAGCCAUAAGCAGCCAGGCCAUGCCCAGCGUACCCUAUAAAAAGACACCACUUGAAGAUGAGAUCCCUGCAAACAGUAUCUGCAGAGCAAGCUUCAGAGACCUCAGACAAUCUGCUGCAUCUAAGUCCUGGCUGCUGAGAAAUGGCCAACUCCAUAGGGACUUACUCAGACACUAAUGUGGAAUGGUGGUUUAAUGGUGGUGGUUAAAAUCAACAAGGUGUAAGAAACCCCUCCAAAAAUAAAAAUAGGCUCUCUGCCAGAAUUUGUGUUGCAUUAGUGUUUGAGAUUGUCUCUCAGAAUGAGAGAGUGAAAUAACAGAAGCUCAGAAUCUUUGCUGCAAAGCUAAUCCCGGGUUCCCCCACAUCCAUCUCAGGAGAAAAUGUAUGUGCAGCUUCCAAGGGUGGGAAGAUCUCCUUCCACCAGAUUCCCCAGCUGUAGAGGAACAAUUUAGCAAUUUCUUUCCUUAGUACUCAACACUCAAUUUAAAUGUGAGUGAAAUCAGCAGAACGUAGCACUGCCCAUGGAUGCUCUAAUAAGCUUAAAGGCAGUGGAGAAGGGAAAAGGGAGAAAGUAAAGAUGUCCCCAGGAGGUUCUGUCUUUCUCAGUCAUGAUGCAGAACUGAGCUGCUCUAGUCAUGUGGGUGUGAUUCAGUUGGAAAUGGAAGGCCAUGGAGCUUCAUAAAUUCCCUCAUCCUCUGUUGACCUUGAGGUGUGUUGUAAUAAAGGACAGAGCAGCACCAGACCUAGCCACCAGGAGAGGAUAAUCCUGUGGCUACAUCACAAGCAGAGAUACUCAUCUCUGGUCUGAUUCUGCCCAGCCUCCCGGUCUCACCUUCCCCAUCAAUUAUCUCUUCCAUCUGAAGCAGGGGUGGGGAACGUCUUUUCUGCCAAGGGCCAUUUGGAUAUUUAUAACAUCAUCCGUGGACCAUACAAAAUUAUCAACUUAAAGAUUAGCCUGCUUAAAAAAAAAUUAGCCUGGUAUAUUUGGUCAACCAUUUACUUAACUUACCCCUAAUGUCUUGGCAAGGCCAGACCAAAUGAUUUUUGAGAACCUCAUAUGGCCCCUUUGCUGGAUGUUCCCCACACCUGCUUUAAGGGCUCAAAGUCCCCAGCAGAGGCAGAAAUGGUUAGAAUUACAGUAUUCAUAGGUUAGAGCAGUGAUCCUCAAAAAAUUUGUGUCUCGCCCAGCUGGUGUGGCUCAGUGGUUGAGUGUCAACCUAUGAACCAGAAGGUCAUGGUUUGAUUCCUGGUUGGGGCACAUGCCAGGGUUGCGGGCUCGAUCCCCACUGUGGGGCAUAUAGGAAGCAGCCGAUGGAUGGUUCUCAUCAUCGACGUAUCUUUCUCCCUCCUCUCCCUUCCUCUCUGAAAUCAAUAAAAAAUAUAUUUUUUAAAAAUUUGUGUCUCUCCAAGAGAAUUUGAAACACUAUGCACCUUUCGUAAUUUUAAAUUGGCAUCCUAAAUGUUUUAUCAUGAAUUUAAAUAUUUACUGCGAAUGUAAUUUCUUCUUGUAAAUAUUGAUAUUUAAAACAUCUUUUUUUUAAAUUUACAGUUCAGUAAUAUUUUUAAUCAGAUAAAUUCCAUUCCACUUUGCUAUGAAAUUAGACGAGAAGUGCCACAAGACCGGGUUAUUAUUUGGCCUUGCAUUUUUCUCAAAAACUUUGAAUCUGCUCAAGCAGUUGAACAAGCACGUGGUUGAGCCUCAAUUCUUUGCUAUGCCAUAUGAAUGAGAUGAUUUUAUUCUGUAUAUUUUUAAAGGCUGCUGUUAUCUGAUAUUGGCUUGAACUAUAGGACAAGUGACAGCCUGACCUCUGUGCACUGUGUGUGCCUGCAGGACACAUUAGCCUCAAACUGCACCCAGUAGAGGAGCGAA